CCUACGGGGGGCAGCAGUGGGGAAUAUUGGACAAUGGGGGGAACCCUGAUCCAGCCAUGCCGCGUGUGUGAAGAAGGCCCUCGGGUUGUAAAGCACUUUCAGUGAGGAAGAACGCCGGUGGUUAAUACCCAUCAGGAAAGACAUCACUCACAGAAGAAGCACCGGCUAACUCCGUGCCAGCAGCCGCGGUAAUACGGAGGGUGCGAGCGUUAAUCGGAAUUACUGGGCGUAAAGCGCGCGUAGGUGGCUUGAUAAGCCGGUUGUGAAAGCCCCGGGCUCAACCUGGGAACGGCAUCCGGAACUGUCAAGCUAGAGUGCAGGAGAGGAAGGUAGAAUUCCCGGUGUAGCGGUGAAAUGCGUAGAGAUCGGGAGGAAUACCAGUGGCGAAGGCGGCCUUCUGGACUGACACUGACACUGAGGUGCGAAAGCGUGGGUAGCAAACAGGAUUAGAUACCCCGGUAGUC
rnacentral:rRNA from 1 species